CCUCUUUCUCAUCUUCUUACUUGACACGUCUUUUUUCUUUUUUGUUUUUUCUAGAUGGGGUAUUACAGCUUCUGCUUAGAGAUUGCAGAAAUUCUUUGAUAGGACAGAACUUCUCUUCUCGGUCUUCCGAAAGAACUUUUCUUCUAAAACUUCUUUUUCUUUCUCUUUCUCUCACUUGCCAUGUCUUUAAGUGUAUUUUGGUGUGUGAUGGAUGAAUUAAAAUGAGCAGGGGGUGAAGGGUUUAUAUAGAAAUCGCC
rnacentral:lncRNA from 1 species